rnacentral:rRNA from 1 species
CCAAGCCGACGAUCAGUAGCCGACCUGAGAGGGUGACCGGCCACAUUGGGACUGAGACACGGCCCAAACUCCUACGGGAGGCAGCAGUGGGGAAUAUUGCACAAUGGGGAAACCCUGAAUGCAGCGACGCCGCGUGAGCGAUGAAGUAUUUCGGUAUGUAAAGCUCUAUCAGCAGGGAAGAAAAUGACGGUACCUGACUAAGAAGCCCCGGCUAACUACGUGCCAGCAGCCGCGGUAAUACGUAGGGGGCAAGCGUUAUCCGGAUUUACUGGGUGUAAAGGGAGCGUAGACGGCAUGGCAAGCCAGAUGUGAAAGCCCGGGGCUCAACCCCGGGACUGCAUUUGGAACUGUCAGGCUAGAGUGUCGGAGAGGAAAGCGGAAUUCCUAGUGUAGCGGUGAAAUGCGUAGAUAUUAGGAGGAACACCAGUGGCGAAGGCGGCUUUCU